rnacentral:rRNA from 1 species
UGGCGGACGGGUGAGUAACGCGUGGGUAACCUGCCUCAUACAGGGGGAUAACAGUUAGAAAUGACUGCUAAUACCGCAUAAGACCACAGCACCGCAUGGUGCAGGGGUAAAAACUCCGGUGGUAUGAGAUGGACCCGCGUCUGAUUGGGUAGUUGGUGAGGUAACGGCCCACCAAGCCGACGAUCAGUAGCCGACCUGAGAGGGUGACCGGCCACAUUGGGACUGAGACACGGCCCAA